GAGAUGAUGAGGUGCUUCCUCACCUAUCGAAUAAUAUUGACAACAUAAAAAACUUCCUUCGCUUUACCAUUUUUCUUCUUCUCUUCUGUUUCUUUUUUUCUUUCUGCUCCGUGUCACUAUUUGAAUCUCUGAUUAUCUCGUUUCCUUCAAAAUUCUUGUUCCCGGAAUUUGAUUCUUUUCUCACGUUCUAGAUUUGAAAUCUCAACGGGAAGCAACCUCCGUGUUUCUCCUUUUGAAUUUCCCGAAAAUCUCGAGCUCUGUCGUGUAGUGACAAUUGGGAUUUUUUUUUCAGCUCCGAUUCACCGUUUUUUCGAUCGAUUACGGAAGCUAGAGAUUCGGAUUCCAUUGAUUCCCACGGAUUUGCUGGAAAUCGAGUAGAAAAUGGCGAAGCGUGGAUAUAAGCUGCAGGAGUUUUUGGCACAUUCUGCAAAUGUAAAUUGCUUAAGUAUCGGAAAGAAGACAUCACGGCUCCUUAUUACUGGUGGUGAUGAUUACAAUGUCAACCUUUGGGCGAUCGGCAAGCCUACUUCUUUAAUGAGUUUAUGUGGACAUACUAGUGCAGUGGAUUCAGUAGCUUUUGACUCGGCAGAAGUUUUGGUGCUUGGUGGAGCUUCUUCGGGUGUGAGAAAGCUUUGGGAUCUAGAAGAAGCAAAGAUGUAGUGGUUCGAGCUUUUACUGGACAUAGAUCCAAUUGUUCUGCUGUUGAAUUUCAUCCAUUUGGUGAAUUUUUGGCAUCAUAGAUCAAGUGACACGAAUUUGAAGAUUUGGGACAUCAGAAAGAAGGGAUGCAUACAGAGGUACAAGGGUCAUACUCGUGGCAUCAACACUAUCAAAUUUACUCCAACGUAUGUUGUAAAUUUUGUAGUGACUGGAGGACUUGACAAUGUUGUAAAGGUAUGGGAUUUGACUGCUGGAAAGCUUAUACAUAAUUUUAUCUUUCAUGUUUCACCUGAUCACCGGUCUGAGGUUUAUUUGCGCUGUAACCUUUCAAAUUCAUCUAUGAAAAUGAAUUAAAUUAUAA